UACGAGAGGCCCAAACGUUAUUCGGAUUUACUGGGCUUAAAGAGUUCGUAGGCGGUCUGGUAAGUGGGGUGUGAAAGCCCUCGGCUCAACCGAGGAAUUGCGCUCCAAACUGCCAGGCUCGAGGGAGAUAGAGGUGAGCGGAACUGAUGGUGGAGCGGUGAAAUGCGUUGAUAUCAUCAGGAACACCAGAGGCGAAGGCGGCUCACUGGGUCUUUUCUGACGCUGAGGAACGAAAGCUAGGGGAGCAAACGGG
rnacentral:rRNA from 1 species